rnacentral:rRNA from 1 species
UGUUACCUUGUUACGNCUUCACCCCAGUCAUCAGCCCCACCUUCGACGUCCUCCUCCACAAGGGUUGGAGUAACGGCUUCGGGCGUGGCCAACUUCCAUGGUGUGACGGGCGGUGUGUACAAGGCCCGGGAACGUAUUCACCGCAGUAUGCUGACCUGCGAUUACUAGCGAUUCCNNNUUCACGUAGGCGAGUUGCAGCCUACGAUCUGAACUGAGCCACGGUUUAUGGGAUUUGCUUGUCCUCGCGAACUUGCUGCCCUUUGUCCGUAGCAUUGUAGUACGUGUGUAGCCCAGGAUGUAAGGGGCAUGAUGACUUGACGUCAUCCACACCUUCCUCCGGUUUAUCACCGGCAGUCUCUCUAGAGUGCCCAACUAAAUGCUGGCAACUAAAGACGUGGGUUGCGCUCGUUGCGGGACUUAACCCAACAUCUCACGACACGAGCUGACGACAGCCAUGCACCACCUGUCACUGCGUUCCCGAAGGCACUCUCCUGUUUCCAAGAGAUUCGCAGGAUGUCAAACCCUGGUAAGGUUCUUCGCGUUGCAUCGAAUUAAACCACAUACUCCACCGCUUGUGCGGGCCCCCGUCAAU